rnacentral:rRNA from 1 species
AUUGAACGCUGGCGGCAGGCCUAACACAUGCAAGUCGAGCGAGCGGCGGACGGGUUAGUAAUGUCUGGGAAACUGCCUGAUGGCGGGGGAUAACUACUGGAAACCGUAGCUAAUACCGCCUAGCCUCAGAUGUUCCCAGAUGGGAUUUGCUAGUAGGUGGGGUAACGGCUCACCUAGGCGACGAUCCCUAGCUGGUCUGAGAGGAUGAUCAGCCACACGGGAACUGAGACACGGUCCAGACUCAUACGUGAGGCAGCAGUGGGGAAUAUUGCACAAUGGGCGCAAGCCUGAUGCAGCCAUGCCGCGUGUAUGAAGAAGGCCUUCGGGUUGUAAAGUACUUGCAGCGGGGAGGCGUUACCCGCAGAAGAAGCACCGGCUAACUCCGUGCCAGCAGCCGCGGUAAUUC